UCAUUCAGUUUAUCUUCCACCACCAAAAAUUGAAUUUAACUGUGAUAAUCAGGAGUGGAUUCAAAAAGAAGCAAAUGAGGUACGUCAAAGGGCAGAACUUCUAUUUACAGAAGUGCAAAAUGCCCUUCAUCAGAUUUCAGAGAAAACAUUAGGUGAAGGAUCACAGAAUGGUAACUUAAAAUCAUCUGAAUUAUCAAGAUUUCAUGUUGCAGAACUAGAAGGGAUACUGCAGAAGGAGAAAGAAGAACUUGAGGAAUCUUUACAGAAUGCAAUAUCUAAGGAGGCGAAAGUUGGCCAACCUGUGUUUGAUCUUCUUGAGCUUAAUAAAUUAAGGAGGCAGAUACUCUUCCAUUCUUAUGUUUGGGACCAACGGCUGAUUUAUGCAGGUAGUUUAAGCAACACCAAUCCUGAGGAAGGUCUAAGGAAUUUUGUUCCAAAACUCAAGGAAAAACGUGUCAAUUCUGUCGAGAGCCUUGUUGAGGUGGAUACAUCUCUUAAGCCUGGCAAAGGCUUUAGCAAUUGUGAUUCCAUUCUCGUGCAUACAAAGCCAGAGCUAAAUCUUAAUCAAGGAGGAAAUGAUAGCUCUGUUAGCCAGUCAGUCAGG
rnacentral:misc_RNA from 1 species